rnacentral:rRNA from 1 species
AACGCGAAGAACCUUACCAGGCCUUGACAUGCAGAGAACUUUCCAGAGAUGGAUUGGUGCCCUCGGGAACUCUGACACAGGUGCUGCAUGGCUGUCGUCAGCUCGUGUCGUGAGAUGUUGGGUUAAGUCCCGUAACGAGCGCAACCCUUGUCCUUAGUUACCAGCACCUCGGGUGGGCACUCUAAGGAGACUGCCGGUGACAAACCGGAGGAAGGUGGGGAUAACGUCAAGUCAUCAUGGCCCUUACGGCCAGGGCUACACACGUGCUACAAUGGUCGGUACAAAGGGUUGCCAAGCCGCGAGGUGGAGCUAAUCCCAUAAAACCGAUGUAGUCCGGAUCGCAGUCUGCAACUCGACUGCGUGAAGUCGGAAUCGCUAGUAAUCGGAAUCAGAAUG